CCUACGGGAGGCAGCAGUGAGGAAUAUUGGUCAAUGGCCGAGAGGCUGAACCAGCCAAGUAGCGUGCAGGACGACGGCCCUACGGGUUGUAAACUGCUUUUGCGGGAGGAUAAAGUGCGCCACGCGUGGCGCUUUGCAGGUAUCCCGUGAAUAAGCAACGGCUAAUUACGUGCCAGCAGCCGCGGUAAUACGGAAGGUCCGGGCGUUA
rnacentral:rRNA from 1 species